rnacentral:rRNA from 4 species
UUGAAGAGUUUGAUCAUGGCUCAGAUUGAACGCUGGCGGCAGGCCUAACACAUGCAAGUCGAACGGUAGCACAGAGAGCUUGCUCUUGGGUGACGAGUGGCGGACGGGUGAGUAAUGUCUGGGAAACUGCCCGAUGGAGGGGGAUAACUACUGGAAACGGUAGCUAAUACCGCAUAACGUCGCAAGACCAAAGUGGGGGACCUUCGGGCCUCACACCAUCGGAUGUGCCCAGAUGGGAUUAGCUAGUAGGUGGGGUAACGGCUCACCUAGGCGACGAUCCCUAGCUGGUCUGAGAGGAUGACCAGCCACACUGGAACUGAGACACGGUCCAGACUCCUACGGGAGGCAGCAGUGGGGAAUAUUGCACAAUGGGCGCAAGCCUGAUGCAGCCAUGCCGCGUGUAUGAAGAAGGCCUUCGGGUUGUAAAGUACUUUCAGCGAGGAGGAAGGCGUUAAGGUUAAUAACCUUAGCGAUUGACGUUACUCGCAGAAGAAGCACCGGCUAACUCCGUGCCAGCAGCCGCGGUAAUACGGAGGGUGCAAGCGUUAAUCGGAAUUACUGGGCGUAAAGCGCACGCAGGCGGUUUGUUAAGUCAGAUGUGAAAUCCCCGGGCUCAACCUGGGAACUGCAUUUGAAACUGGCAAGCUUGAGUCUCGUAGAGGGGGGUAGAAUUCCAGGUGUAGCGGUGAAAUGCGUAGAGAUCUGGAGGAAUACCGGUGGCGAAGGCGGCCCCCUGGACGAAGACUGACGCUCAGGUGCGAAAGCGUGGGGAGCAAACAGGAUUAGAUACCCUGGUAGUCCACGCCGUAAACGAUGUCUAUUUGGAGGUUGUUCCCUUGAGGAGUGGCUUCCGGAGCUAACGCGUUAAAUAGACCGCCUGGGGAGUACGGCCGCAAGGUUAAAACUCAAAUGAAUUGACGGGGGCCCGCACAAGCGGUGGAGCAUGUGGUUUAAUUCGAUGCAACGCGAAGAACCUUACCUACUCUUGACAUCCAGAGAACUUAGCAGAGAUGCUUUGGUGCCUUCGGGAACUCUGAGACAGGUGCUGCAUGGCUGUCGUCAGCUCGUGUUGUGAAAUGUUGGGUUAAGUCCCGCAACGAGCGCAACCCUUAUCCUUUGUUGCCAGCGGUUCGGCCGGGAACUCAAAGGAGACUGCCAGUGAUAAACUGGAGGAAGGUGGGGAUGACGUCAAGUCAUCAUGGCCCUUACGAGUAGGGCUACACACGUGCUACAAUGGCAUAUACAAAGAGAAGCGACCUCGCGAGAGCAAGCGGACCUCAUAAAGUAUGUCGUAGUCCGGAUUGGAGUCUGCAACUCGACUCCAUGAAGUCGGAAUCGCUAGUAAUCGUAGAUCAGAAUGCUACGGUGAAUACGUUCCCGGGCCUUGUACACACCGCCCGUCACACCAUGGGAGUGGGUUGCAAAAGAAGUAGGUAGCUUAACCUUCGGGAGGGCGCUUACCACUUUGUGAUUCAUGACUGGGGUGAAGUCGUAACAAGGUAACCGUAGGGGAACCUGCGGUUGGAUCACCUCCUU